GAUAUUACUUUACAAAACUAGAAGGUAAAAGACGACAUGAAAAGAAAAACAGACUCAAAACAUAAAAAAUAAAAAAAAUCUCUUUAAGCAACUCCUGAACGAGCGAUCCUGACUGGAUGGUCCUAAGGUGUCUGUCAUGCUCAAACUCCGGUAAGUAGUCCCACACCUGUAUGAGAAAAUUAGGAAUAAAUAAAGUUAAAGACCUAGAAUACUAUGUGAGACUAUAACACUUCAUGUUGGACAACAUACAAGACAUGAUUGAGGCUAUUUUUGCAAAAUGGCUUAUGCGGUCUAAAGAUGGCUAGAAGUGCAAAAUUUGGCUAAGACCCCGCAAGCCAAAAACCUAAGAUUUACUAGGAAGACCGGACCCUAUGUGGAUUGCCUACAUAUCACGCCUCGAAAGACAAUAAUCAGGUAUGCGUAGUUCGGGCAGAUUGGAUACGAGCGAGAAUUAAAAAAAUAACUAAUUUAGAGAAAAUAUGUUUUUUGUCUUCUUUUUUUUUUUGAAAAAUGAUGAAACAUAUAAACACUUUUUGGAUUUUCUUUUCCCUUUUUUUUUAUUUUUGGAAAAAUGAUGAAAAAGUGCAAAAUCUUUAUGGAUUUUUCAUAUAAUUUUUUUUUCUUUUUCUUAAAAAAAUGUGAAAGAAAAAACAUAACUAGGCCCUAUUUGCUUUAUUUUCACACUUUGCCCUCUUUUUCUUUCUUUUUUUCAUUUGCCCUCAACUAUCAUUGGUCUGCCAAAUGACCCUUUUACCCUUGAAGAUUGCAACAUGUAGCACAUAGGAUGCGUCAGGAUGGUCUUUUAUUUUUGGGUACACCUGUCCUAGACGGACCCAACCCUUGUGUUGAGUCCCCAAAGUCAAAUGCACAUGAUGCAAACAAACGUGCCUACUAGGGAUCCGGCAUGAGGCUGUGUUUUUCUAGGUAUAAAUCCUGGGGUUGUGUUCUAGACUUGGCUUACCCGAGCGGACAACUGGGGCCGAAGAGGGGGCAACGUACCGGGAGCACUAAAGUCUACUCGGCCUUGUUGCUGCCCAACCCUGUUUUUAUUUGGUAUACUUCUACAGAAAAAGCGGGCCACGCGAACGUGUGCACCAUUUUCAGAAAACUCAGAUGGGUGGCGUAAAAAGAUAGUUAUAUACAAUUCAAACAAUAUUAAAGCUGUAAACAGAUAGCAUUUAACACAAAAGGUUCAUAGAAUACAGUAAUAUCAACAAAAAACAAAGCCAAGUAAAAAUCAUAUUAACAAGCUCGAAUUCUUGAACCCUGGUUAGUUCUGCAUUCGAUCCCCAGCAGAGUUGUCAGAGCUGUCACACCUCCUUUUUACCACCCUCGGGAAGGGUAAAGGGAGUUUUUUCCAAUUUAAGUGAUAAUCGAAAUGAGAUUAUUUAAAUUAAAAUUAGAAUCGCCACUUGGGAUAAUUUAUGGUGUCCCAAGUCACCGGUUUAAAAUCCCGAAUUGAGAAAAUUGAUUCUUAUUUACGUUCUGCGAACACAGAAACCCGGGUAAGGAAUUCUGUUAACCCAGGAGAAGGUGUUAUGCAUUUCCGAGUUCCGUGGUUCUAGCACGGUCGCUUUGAUCAUACAUGGCUUAAUCAAAUUUACUCAAUUUUAGAACCUAUGUGCAUUUGCCUUUUAAUUAAGAAAAUAUACUGAAAACAGGUCACACGUACGUGUACCCAUUUGUUUGGCGUGUCAAAAAUUAUGUCACCCGAACGUGUCCACAAUUAAUAACGGUUUAUUAUUAUUAAGAAAGUUGGGCCGAAGUUGCGCGAACGCAUACUCCGAUUUUAUUUUUAGAAAGGUAAUUAUAUCACGUGAACGUGUAUACAACCACGACGGUAUAUUAAGCGCGCCUAAAGUAACUACGGACGUUCCCCCCUUUUUAGUAUCUAAGUUAUAAAAUUAAUGUGAGGGCCAUGAGCAAUUUUAUCUAAGAUGGCACACCUCGGUCUAUUUCUUGAGGAACUAUAUUUAAUUAAAAAGGGUUGUAUUAAUAACAAAUUUAAUAUUAUCGCAAAAGUUUGGUCGAAGUUGCGUGAACGCAUACUCCGAAUAUUUUUUAAAAUCAUAAUCAUGUCACGCGAACGUAUCCACAAUCACGACGAUAAAUCUAAAAAUGCGCAUAAAGCAUACUACAAUGUUCAUAAAUUAUUUAAUCUAAAACUAGUUAAGGUUAUUGAGAGGCCAUACAUAUAGUUCCAUGAUUCAUUUACGACGUAAUUCAUGAGAAACAUAUUUGGCUUUAGACGAGCAGAAGAGCUAAAACUAUCAAUUACAAAAAAAUGAGCAUGCCAUGUAAUCACACAUCAUUUAUAUGUAGCAUAAAGAUAAACAACUCAAACCUUAAAAUGGAGUUCCAUAAGAAAUGAGCAGAUCCAACAAAGCACUUAGUACAGAAGAACAAUUAAACGUACCUUACGAACAAGACAAAAGGAAUCAAAGAAGAUGCGAUAAAAACUAAUGUUAAAAUGCCGACUAAGAAAAAGCAAAAUCUUAUCGUGACAUUGAUUAAGCACAUCACGCCUUCAAUCCAAAUUUUAAUCUUAAGAGUUCAAAUUCAACUUUGGUUAAACAAAUUCAAUAGCACUUAAUUGAAAAAUCAUACACUUGUUAAGCACAAAAGCAAGCAAAUUCAUGUAAAAGCUGAACACGAAUACGAACAGAGAAACGGUGUUGGGACCACUGACCAGAAAAUAAUGUCGGCGACUUCGACGGAAAACCCAAACUCGACCCUUUUUUCCCACGUAAUCUUUUGCAGAUAAAAAUAGAGCUUGAGAUAUGAUGUUUGGGUUGUUUCGAUGUAGCUUUGUUACUGAUUCUUCAGUGCGUUAAUAGUGAAAAAUGGUGAGCUUGCACAACUGGUUUUUAAAAACUACUUUCAUGGUGUGCUGACGCGUUGGGUGGGCGCUGGUUUUUCGUUUGGGCGAACGAGAGAAAUCCUUGGUUUUUCUGCCUUUUUUUUAUUUUGUGAAGAUCCAAAACAAAGAAUUUCGAUUUCGAUUCGAUGUUGUAGUUGGAAUCAAGAAACCGAUCCAAAGGGUAGGGGUCUCGUUUGGUUGAAACAGAAACAAAACGAUGGGGUCAGUCUUAGGGAUCUUCAGUGCCUUUUGAUUUGGGAAAGGGAAUGAAGAAGACCAAAAAUACGUGGGAUGGGGACCUUUGCGGCGCUGCUUUCCUAAUGUCUAGGCAUUUUUGUUUUUUUCCAUCCUUUUCAGCUGAUCGUCUCUUAGGCCUUUAUGGU
rnacentral:lncRNA from 1 species